GAGCGGUAACAGGUGUAGCAAUACAUGCUGACGAGCGGCGAACGGGUGAGUAAUGCUUUGGAAUCUUCCCAGUAGUGGGGAAUAACCAGUCGAAAGAUUGGCUAAUACCGCAUACGUCGGAAACGGGAAAGCGGGGGAUCGUAAGACCUCGCGCUAUUGGAUGAGCCAAAGUCGGAUUAGCUAGUUGGCGAGGUAACGGCUCACCAAGGCGACAAUCCGUAGCUGGUCUGAGAGGACGACCAGCCACACCGGAACUGAGACACGGUCCGGACUCCUACGGGAGGCAGCAGUGGGGAAUAUUGGACAAUGGGGGAAACCCUGAUCCAGCGACGCCGCGUGUGUGAAGAAGGCCUGCGGGUUGUAAAGCACUUUUAGUGGGGACAAAAAGUCACGGGCUAACACCGCGUGAUCUUGAUUUAACCCACAGAAAAAGCACCGGCUAACUCUGUG
rnacentral:rRNA from 1 species